CUAGGCGGGCGGGGAGGCUGGAGGAGAAGCUGCCUAACAGCCGGCCGAGGCGGCCCCCGCCCCAGGGGAGCCCGCCCUGCAGCCCGGGGCCGCGGCCGAGCGCAGCCCCGCCUGCGGCCUCGAGAGCGGAACCCGAGGACCCGGCGCGGCCAGAAGCUCUUCGGAGGAGCCAGCAUUAAGGCCGAGGGAGCGGCCGCGAGCCUCCCACUCCCACCGGACACUCCGCGACGGCAGUUAACACACCUGAACCCGUCCAUCCUCAACCUGUCAGUUGCACCGGGAAGCCUCCCCGCGGUCCCGCGCCCGUCCCCACCGCCCAGCCACGCAGUUCUGCAGUCACCACCUCAACGACCCGCUCCGAAACCCCACAGCCUCCUCUUGGUAGACUCGAGACACACACUGCCCGAGUCCACGCGGUCCUGCGCUCCCUUGCCGCACCCGCGCAGCGUCGUGCUCCAGGCGGCCGCGGCACCCUGGGGCCCUAAUACUCAGUCCUGCGUCUCCACCACCCCACACCCUUCCCCGGCAGUGGACCCGCAGCCUCCAGCUCGCCGUUUCCGCAGCCGUCUCCACGCCGAAUAUCCAGCUCCCACGGACGGUCCCACCGGGCGGCUCAGGCACACACACCCCCUCACCAGGUCUGAAACAGAAUUCAUCAUCGUCUUCCUCAAAACUGGCCUCGUGCAGACUUCCCCACAUUAGGUGAAUGGCACAGCCAUCCUGCCACCCUCCCCACCAAGAUGGAAGGCACCAACUGGGUAUCACACGCUGAUUUGAACAUCUAGCUGAUAACACGAGGGUGAGCGUAUCAGGAGAGACCUCUGCCUCAUCAGGGCUGGUCCAGUGAUCACGCGCGUUCCGACAGCGCUGGAAGAUGUGGAGGACGGCUACAGGGUACCACAAGAGAGCACGACAGGAUGGGUCCCAGAGGGCGUGGAAGGCUUCCCGGGGGCAGUACCUAAGCUGUUUCCUGAAGAACGAGCAGGACUUCACUAGCCCGAGCAAUCUGGAGCCUUGUCCAGUCUGGCCUCCAGGAGAGGAAGCAGCUGCUCUCAACACCAGUGCUGUGGAGGCCAGCAGCACUUCCUCCAAAUCCAGCUCACAACCAAGAGCCCAAAUCUCGUUCCACCCCAAGGGUCGGCACCACGCGACGCGGCCAUAACUGGGCGCACCCACCCCACAGGCCAGCGGCGAGCAAGGCCACGCUGGGCGAGGCAGGAAGGAGCCGGGUGACACGGCGACGGCAGGCACUUACUCUGUCGCACAGGUCGGAGCCCUCCGUCUUCAGCCUGGACUGCAGCAGCGCCACCUCAGAGGCCAAGGCCUUGUGCUCCGUUUCCAGGCUCUUCUUGCCACUGUUGAGGGUGGACACGUCCCGGGACUGUUUGUACCUAUUGACUGUCUCAUCAAAGUGACGGUAGAGACCUAGUCUCUUGUUGACCAGGGUCAAGACCUGCUCUGUGAUGCAGGCCACCUUCAUCCUGGCUUCUGCAGCCGGAUCCUGGGGGAGAGACACCGUGUGUGAUGACAUCCAGCCCUGAGCCCACUGCGACCUUCUCCUCCCAAGGAGCACCCACCACUAGCACACAAACGAGAAAAGCCACCAUCUUGGAAAGUCAGAGAAUCACACUCUUGCCGACACUGACCCUGGAACGGUUCAGCAAUGGGCAGGACAGGGGACAGGAAGAUGAAGCAGACGUUCACAUCCAAGUCCAGCAGGACAGACACACUGGUAUAAAAGGGAUGCUAAUGCCAGGGUGCACCGUGAGAGGGGUAUGAGGUGCUGAGGGAGGAGAAAUUCCAUCUCAGGCCGGGGAAGACUUCCAGGACGUGUUUCCAGGACCUAAAGGAUGAAGCCCAAGCUCCUUAGCCAGCCAAGGCCCUUCAGACGCAGCCCCAUGUACUCCCCAGAAUCCCUAACCAGUGGGCUACUGCAGAAGCCCUAACCGGGCAUGCUCAAAGGCUGACUCUGGCCUGCAGAAGGUCGAUUUGGCCCACAAUUAGUUUUUUUUUCCUCAGUAAAUUAUCAAAGCUUUAAAAUAGAGAUGUAUACACAGGAAAUCAGUUGAAUAAACUAUGACUUAUCCAUACAAGAGAGUCCUCUGCAGCUAUAAAAAAAUAACAAGGAAGAAAGCUCUCUAUGAACUGAUAUGAGUGAUUUUCAGGAUACGUUAGUUAAGUGAGAAAAGCAGUGAAAAAUAGGUAUGCUGUUGCUACCUUUUGUGUACAAAAGAAGAAAAUAAGAAUUAAAUAUCUGCCUAUUUUUGCAAAAUAAACAAAUCAGAAAGGCUACCUAGGGGACUGAUGAAAUUGUUCCCUACAAGGCAGGGUGGGACAGGGUGGAGGAAACCACACCAUUUUCAAGUUCUCAAUUUAGAACUUUGUUAGUGUUUUACGGUAUCACAGCCAACAUUAAAUAUUACCAAUGAUGGAGGAAGAAACCAGAAUAAAAUUCAAGCAUCAAUGAACCUAAUACCUUUCAAAUGAGUAACCAGGGAAAGAAGAACAGAGCAACUACCUUGGGAUCACAGACUCUGACACUAUGGUCUCAAUCUAAAGACAAAAAGAGGGCUUCCCUAGUGGCACAGUGGUUGAGAAUCCGCCUGCCAAUGCAGGGGACAUGGGUUCGAUCCCCGAUACCGGAAGAUCCCGCAUGCCACGGAGCAACUAAGCCCGUGCACCACAACUACUGAGCCCACACUCUAGAGCCUGCGAGCCACAACGACUGAUCCCGUGUGCCACAACUACUGAAGCCCAGGAGCCUCGAGCCCGUGCUCCACAACAAGAGAAACCACCGCAACGAGAAGCCCACGCACCGCAACGAAGAGUAGCCCCCGCUCGCCGCAACUAGAGAAAGCCUGGACGCAGCAACGAAGACCCAAUGCAGCCAAAAAUAAAUAAAUAAAUAAAUUUAUUUUAAAAAAUAAAGACAAAAAGAACUGCCAAGAAACCUGGCGCUCUACUGGCAGGUUUGGUGUUUGUAGUGGUAUGAGUGCAGCAACUGUGGAACUGUUUUGUUUUGUUUAUAGACUUCAGCAAAUAAACAAACACACUGAUGUUGGGAUCCAGGCAAAGAACCCUGUGGGGUUAGACUGGAAUAACUCAUAUUUCAAAUACCACAUGUAUUUAUCUCCCGGCUCUGUCUGCUGAAAGGGCUGAGGAGCAGAGAUGCUCCAAGAGCAGUGAUCACAACCAGCUCCCAGAUCAUGGUCUCCAGGUACCAUUCUGCACUGCAAGGAACCGGAGCUCCUCGGAGAAAGUACAAGAUAUGCCGGAAACGUACUGCUGCACGCUACAAUAAGGAAGUGCACAAAAAUACGAUGUAGACGGAAAGACAGUCAAACCUGGGACACUUGAGCAUCAAAAGGAACGGCACAGUGGACAGUAAUCCAGUAAAAUAACACAUGAAUCCAAACGAAUAAUGAACCAACCAACCAACAAGAAAAGCUUUUCCUUAUAGUAGAAAACCACCUAGUAAGGUAAAAGGCACCAUAGUUUUUCAGCCACCACAACUAUCAGAUUCAGAUAAGAAUUAGUAAUAAAUACUGUAACUAAUGGGUGAAUAUAUAUGAUAUUUAUGUAGCCUCAAACAGAUUAUGUAUUAAUUGCAAAGAAAAAUAGUAACAUUACAGUGAAUAAACCAAGAAAGGCACCAACUCAACCAAGGAGAGUCAGUAUCACCAACCCCGGACCAAAUGACAUCAGGUACCUCCCGACGUGAUGCACUGCAGACACAGCACCACUUCAUAAUGUUCUUGCCAAAAAUGCAUAAUCUGCAUUUUCAAGGAGAAACAUAAGAAACCUAACGUACACACAAGGCCGAGGAAUGUCCCAGAUUAAAGCAGACUAAGGAAAUAUGACAACUAAAUGCAAUGCAUCAUCAACUGAAUUCUGAAGUAUGAAAAAGAAUGGCUAUAGAAGUUACCCUUGGGGCGAUCAGCAAAAUUUGAGCCUGGACUGGGUGCUGGUUGUUAUUAGAGCAACGUCACAUUCCGGACUUUGAGCAUCGUGCUCUGGCUCUAUGAAACGGGGCCCUUGGGGUCAGGCUGUGCACACGCCUAAGUAUUCAAGGGAGGCGGGCAACUUAAACGGCUCAGGAAGAGUACAUACGACAGGCCAAAUGUUAACCACUCCGUCCAGGUGAAGAGUGCACAAGAGUUCGUUUUACUAUUCUUGUAAAAUGUCUAAAUGCAGAAAUAUUUUAAAACUCGGGAUUUUUAAAAUUAAUAUAGCUUAGGAAAUGGGGAUAUGUCACAGUAAAACCUAGACUCAGCCCUUCUGCGUGACAAGGUGAGCAGCUGCCCUGGUGGCACCCCUACCCCAGGGCAGCCUCGCUGGUCUACGGAACCAGCCAGACCAACGUCCUUGCUCAUUCGUACCAACUGCCACCCACAGGCCCCAGCAAAAGCCUGCCAUGCUGUCCCACAAGCUGCUCCCUGAGGCAAAGGCCCCGCCCCACCUCUUCUGCCAGUCACUUCCCCGCGAGCCUUUCUGGGCACACGCUCUGCCCACUGCCUCUCCCCACGGAACUGGCCGCCAGCAGCAACCUGUCUCCUUCAACAGUGCAUGUCCGUGACCACAGCAACAAAAGGAGGGGUCUCUAGGGUAACGGUCAGCUGAGGCCACGAGCAGGCAGAGGUGUAUGUCGCGCGGCCGGGCGCUGGGAAAGCGAGUCAAGCACGCACUGCAGACGGCCGAGUUGGGUACCUUUGUGAUGGAGAAGUCCAGCCUGACGUAGACGAUGACGGUGAAGAACAGGACGUAGAAGGCAGCCACCACCAGCAGGGGCUCCUGCAGCAUGAGCACCUUGUUGAAGGUGUAGUGUACCUGGGGGGAGCCAGGAACACAUGCUGACACACGGGUCCACCCGGACUCAGAAACCUGGGGGCGAAGGGGCCUCGCCAGGCCUACAACUGUCCGGGCUGCCCCCGCCAUGUGCCCCACCCCCGCCCCCAGAGGCGGCUGUGCCCAAACCACUCCAGGCAAGGAGGAGAGGAUGGCAAGUCCCUGACCCUGCAGCCACUGUCCAGGGAGGAGGCCUGGGAGGCAGGGCUGUGGAGCGCAUACCACCAUGUCCUGAAUGUGCUGCUCCACCAGGUUUUUCUUGUGGGCCACGAUCACGGGGCGGCCAAACGUGUCCAGGUAGGUGUAGUGCAGCUCAUCAGGGGCUCGGCUGAUCUCAUAGGGACUGUCCACUUGGAUGUUUCUAGAUGCCAAUGGGAGGAAACUGAGCCUCACACAAACUGCACUGACCAACUAGGUUCCCAGUGAGGAUCCAAGGCCCAAGGGGUCUUCCAGGGUCACGAGUUCUACUCCACUCUCCUCCCCUCCCAUCACAGGGAACACCCAACCCCCUGAGACCGCGGACCCACUGUCAGAAAGCCCUGAGCAUGAGAAUGUUUUGUCGCCCAUGCCAAGGGCAGGGGGCCCUGUGAGUGUCAGCUGGUUUCUGCCAAGUGGACCCUAGAGACGCUGUGGCUCUGUCCUUUCCCAAGCCUGGUUCUUCACCUUAGGCCAACAUUUGAUGAGAUCCCUUACCCUUCCAGAUUCCUUCCUUUCUGCUUAAACUGGCCAAAGACAGCUCCCUCUGUUUAUAACCAUGGAACCUGAUAUACCAUCUGAGACCACCCUCCCCCCCACCUUCUGAACCUGGUGUGACACGCCCAGGACAAGACAAAGCCCUCUCCACUAUCCCUCCCCUUCCUAGGAGCACAGCCCAAGGCCACCCAGCUGCCUCAACUUUGCAGUUCUUUCCUUUUGCCAGUCACCUCAUCGGACUCAGGCCAUCACUCUGGCCUGCUAUGAAUCCCGCCCCUGUCACAGAAAGGGCUGUGUUGGGAUAGCUCAUAAGUGCAUCUUGUGCCCUCACUGAGUCAAAUGUCUCAGUUUAAACUCCACCAGAAGCCCCUCCUCUGCGCCCUAGAACCCAACGUCCCACUGAGGUGCCAAGAGGGCACCACCAGGAAGGGAGACAGGAAGGGAGGUCAGACUCACUUGGCCCCUUCUGGCAGGAUGAUUUUCACAGUCAGAGAGUCUAUCACUUGUUCAUCAAACACGUGGUCCACAAGCCUCAUCUUCAAUGCAUACUGGUCUCCUGGAGGGUCAAGCAGACAUAGCUGUGACUGGUUUUGUGCGUGUCUUUCUCCUAAGUAAAGUACUAGAAUCUAGGCCCUGAACGUCACAAAAGGAGACACCAGCCACCACCGACUGUGUGCCUUCAAUGAAAGAACACAUCAGCUGAGUCUUGCUGAAAGGAUCGACCUGAGUCUGAUCAGGCUCCAGAGACAGCUGUGCUAGACAGCUGGGCUAGAAAUACGGAAGACAGAGGAAUGUGCUGCCCUGCACUCUGACCCGCAAUCAGCAAAAUCCAGACCAUGGGCUACACUACAAAUAAGGUCAACUUCUUCAACAGCUAAACCAUGAGGAAAACAGAUGGAGGAGGAAACUGUGGAUUACUAGAGGCUGACAAGACAAAUCAACUUUUUUGAAAAACGCAGAACUGGAGUAUCUAGAGACAUACAAGUGGGUGAUAGAACGAUGAAGAAAUUCAAGAGAGUGUCUCCCAAAAGCCAGGACGGUGAUCGCUGUUGUGGGGAAAAGAGGAGGUACGUGAGGGCCUUCUGAGCGGCUGGCCAAUUCCACUUCCUUGACCUGAGUGAUGGUUACAAGGUGCUCCUCUUAUAAUUUACCGAACUUUACAUUUGUAUGAUUUACUAGAUUUUAUUUUGCAUUAAAAAGGUUUUAAAAAGAAAGACUUGGAAAUAUGACAAAAUGUUUAUAAUCAAUAGUUCUGGGUGCUUGUGUAAAAAUGUUUAUUAUUCUCUGAAUUUUUUAUUUUUUAAAUAUUUCAAAUUUAAAGAAUUUAAGCAGUUCCUUCUUAUGCUAGAACUGGGGGUAAGAAGCAGCUUUUUACUGUCCUAUGUGAAUUGAUUACCAUACGCAGGUAUCAUUUUUACAACAGUAAUUUUUACUCACCCAUGAAAAGUUGUUGCUGAUAUCCCAGCCUUCCUAAGAAUGACAAGAGAAUACCCUCUCCCCAUCUAAAAGGACUGGCAAUUAUCUCACACACACACACACACACACACACACACACACACACACACGACACAACACAAAACAAACCCACAGGAAAUUAAAGAAAAAGACAGUCUUCCCCUUUUCAACUCCCCAACAAUUGAAAACUGACCCAAAUUAUAGAGGUACUCAUAGCUUGGGAGGUUGUAGCCGACGAUGUAAUGGGUCUUCCACCCGCCGAAAAGAGGAAAGCGAGGCCGGAUUUCCAUCUCUACGGAGUCAUCCAAAAUAAGAAGGUGGCUGGUGGAAACAUUGCCAAUCUCAUCCCGAUAAUAAACAUCCUGUGCAGCAGCAGGAAGGAUGGUCUGCAAGAGAGUGAGCAUGCCUUCUGAAGACUCCAGAAACCGACGCAGAGGAAGUGAUCCUAAGUCCAGAAGAGACUUCCUGCACCAAGCUCUUCACCACAUCACUGCUUAAUAGUCUCCAAACUGUGAACAACCUGAGCAAAGUCUAACUUCCCCCCAAAGGCUCCAGAAUAUCUAGAUACCUCAUCUGCUUCUCAAUCAGCGUCAGUAAAUAGCCAAACUCUUCUAAACAGUAAGUAACAGACUCAUAAAUACCUUUGCAGAUGCUAAAGACUUAAUACAAAGGUAAAAAUAAUCUAAGUUAUUUUGCAGGCGAGCAAACUAAAGACGGAGGAAAUCACAUGAAAUCGCUAGGUGGUUUAUGGUUUACUUAUGAAAGGGGUUUCUCCACCUAAUAUUUUUAACUAAUUUUUUAAAAUCUUUACUUAUUUUUAAUUAUUUAUUUCCAAAUCUGUAAGCAAAUUUUGAUAAUUGAGAGGAAAAUGUAAUGCCUCUGUUUGCACAGUGAGCGCUUCUGUAAUACUUAAGUACGUGAAAAUGCUUCUAGGAUUUCAUUUAUAAGACAGAAAAAGAUACAAAACUGUAUAUGCAAACUGUAUAUGCAAUAUGAUCAAAUGUUUUUUAAACACAGCAUUAUAAAAGAAAAAGGAAAUAUAUAAAAGUGUGUCAGAAAGCCUAGUGCCUGGGUUUGUUUUUCCUUUUUCCAUUAUUCAAAUUUUCUUUAAAAAACAUGACCUACUUAUAUAAAUGGGGGCUUUUUUUUUUGGCCUUGAUGCUAGUUCCCCAACCAGGGAUUGAACCUGGGCCACAGCAGUGAAAAUGCCAAGUUCUAACCACUGGGCCGACAGGGAACUCCUGGAGGCAAUUUUUUUUUUUUAACAUUCUGUUGGUUCUAACACCGUCACUCAACUACCUGAACACCAGUCAAUCCCAACGACUGUCCAUAAUUAGCUACUUUCAAAAAGCAAAAGAAAGGACAGAUGUGAUAGUCAUACUUUCCCCAAUGUCCAAGUCCAACAGUCCAUACCUUAAAAGAACGGAUGGAGGAGACUCCACUAUCUGGCUGUCUCUGGUAAUCAUAGCGCGAAAAAGGCCCCUUCAGCACAGCCCCUGUGUGCUUCAGGUCCACGUUUUCCUCCACAGCAAUGUUACCCCAGUGGGAGACCUCGAUGACUCGGGUCAUGCUGGUGAUGGUCAGGAAAGGGCUGUUGUUCUCAGAAUGUACUUUAAAAGUGUCCUGGAGAGGAAGGAAACAAGCAGCUCAAAGUUUGGUGACAGAGGAAUCAACACUAACUUAAAGCAAAUUGAUUGGAAACAAUUAGUACCAGGACGGUUAAACUGUGACACAUCUAAUGUAUGCAACAGAAUGGUUAAAUUGUGCUGUCUCUAACGUAACGACAUGGAAAUAUUCACGAUAUAUUAUUAAUUGGAAAGACAGAAUACACAAAGCUGUUUUAGGUUCCAACAUAAACAUCAUUUGUUUUACAAACAAAAUUGUCUAUACUUAUUAUUUUAUAGCGACUAUGUGAGAAAAAGAGAACAGAACCUGAACUGAGAUACAUGAGAAUCUCAACACAGAUAGGAAACAGAAUUACAGAUUAUUUCUACUUUCUCCUUGUAGUUUUUAUUUUCCAAAUUUCUGCAAAUGAGCUUUUUAAAUUGAUUUUUUAAAGCAAUUUUUACAGUUUUAAAAUAAAAUAAAAUCUUAAGCUGUAAAUAAAGAAAAACUGUAACUAGGAAAUAAAUAUAAGAUCUAACAGAGAAGACAUAACCUCUCACCAGUGAGCUAACAAAUAACUCAUAACUGAGGGAGACACGUAGCAUUACUGGAUUGUUCUAACCUGAAGAAAAGUCAUCUAGAAAAGUUCACAGAAGAGACUUUUUAAGAUAACGUUUAUGGAGUUGACAUGUAUGUAUGUAUCAGGCACUCUUUAUGAGCUCUGAAUAAGCACAUAAUUUCAUUUAAUCCUCAAAACAUCACAACGAAGUAAUUACUACUUAUCCCCAAUUUUACAAAUAAAAAACCCAGAGGCCCAGCAGUUAGUAUUAAGAAAUCUUUCUGGUCACAGAUACAGAUUGGUGGUUGCCAGAGGCAUGGGUGGGAGAAAUGGGUGAACUGUUUUGUUUCUUUUUAAUUUAAAUAAACUGAAUAACAAAAUUUUUUAAAAGUAAAAUUACAAAAAGACCAGAAAAACAUCAAAUUAAAAAGCUUUUGUACAGCUAAGGAAACUACCAACAAAACGAAAAGGUUGCCUACUGAAUGGAAGAAGAUAUUUGCAAAUGAUACAGCCAAUAGGGGAUUAACAUCCAAACUGUACAAAGAACUCCUACAACCUGACAUCAAAAAACAAAGGACCCAAUUUACAAAUGGGCAGAGGAUCUGAACAGACAUUUUUCCAAGGAAGAUAUUCAGAGAGCCAACAGACAAAUGAGAAGAUGCUCAACAUCACGCAUCAUCAGGCAAAGGCAAAUCAAAACCACAAUGAGGUACUAUCACUUCACGUCUGUCAGAACGGCUAUCAUCAAAAGAUAAUAAAUAACAAGUGUUAGUGAGGAUGUAGAGAAAAAGGAAACCUCAUGCACUGUUGCUGGGAAUGUAAACUGGGGCAGCCACAACAGAAAACAGUAUGGAGAUUCCUUAAAAAAUUAAAAAAACAACUACCAUAUGACCCAGCAAUUCUACUCCUGGGUAUUUAUCCAAACAAAAUGAAAAACACUCAUUAGAAAAGUUAUAUGCACCUCAAAGUUCAUAGCAGCAUCAUUUACAACAGCCAAGAUACAGAAGCAACCUAAGUGCCCAUCAAUAGAUGAAUGGAUAAAGAAGAUGUGAGAUACACACACACACACACACACACACACACACACACAGUGGAACACUACUCAGUCAUAAAAAAGAAUGGAAUCUUGCCAUUUGUGACAACAUGGAUGGAUCUAGAGGGUACUAUGCUAAAUGAAGUAAAUCAGAAAAAGACAAAUACUGUAUGAUUUCACUUAUAUGUGGAAUCUAGAAAACAAAUGAACAAAAUAGAAACAGAGUUACAGAUAUAGAGAACAAACAGGUGGUUGCCAGAGGGGAGAGGGGGGUCAGGGAGGGAGAGAAAUAGGUGAGGCACAU